CUGUAAUUAAAUAAGUGCUAAACAUAUUUAAGGUUGGGUUGCACCAGAGGCGUGGGUAAAGUUAAAGUUAUGGUGAAAGUUAUGGUUACAGUUCAGGCUAUUUUAACUUUAACCUUAACAUUUAACCACAGAAUUUGACAGAAGACGUUGCUGGUCCGACAAGGCUUUAUAAGAACGUGGGCGG